rnacentral:rRNA from 1 species
GGCUCAGAUUGAACGCUGGCGGCAUGCCUUACACAUGCAAGUCGAACGGCAGCACGGGGGCAACCUGGUGGCGAGUGGCGAACGGGUGAGUAAUGCAUCGGAACGUGCCAUUGAGUGGGGGAUAACGUAGCGAAAGUUGCGCUAAUACCGCAUAUUCUGUGAGCAGGAAAGCAGGGGGACCCGCAAGGCCUUGCGCUCUUUGAGCGGCCGAUGUCAGAUUAGCUAGUUGGUGAGGUAACGGCUUACCAAGGCGACGAUCUGUAGCGGGUCUGAGAGGAUGAUCCGCCACACUGGAACUGAGACACGGUCCAGACUCCUACGGGAGGCAGCAGGUGGGGAAUUUUGGACAAUGGGCGCAAGCCUGAUCCAGCCAUGCCGCGUGAGUGAAGAAGGCCUUCGGGUUAGUAAAGCUCUUUCGGUGGGGAAGAAAUUGCUUGGGUUAAUACCCUGAGUAGAUGACGGUACCGGAAUAAGAAGCACCGGCUAACUACGUG